GUCACUGCUAUCAGUGUUCGACUAAGCCAUGCAAGUCAAAUGUUCUUCGUGAACAUGGCGGACUGCUCAGUAACACGUGGAUAACCUGCCCUUAGGAUUGGCAUAACACCGGGAAACUGGUGAUAAUACCGAAUAGACCAUUUAUGCUGGAAUGCUUUUUGGUUCGAAGGCUUCGGCUGCCUAAGGAUGGAUCUGCGGCCUAUCAGGUAGUAGUGGGUGUAAUGUACCUACUAGCCUACGACGGGUACGGGUUGUGAGAGCAAGAGCCCGGAGAUGGAUUCUGAGACAUGAAUCCAGGCCCUACGGGGCGCAGCAGGCGCGAAAACUUUACAAUGCGGGAAACCGCGAUAAGGGGACACUGAGUGCCAGCAUAUUAUGUUGGCUGUCCACAUGUAUAAAAACCAUGUGUUAGCAAGGGCCGGGCAAGACCGGUGCCAGCCGCCGCGGUAACACCGGCGGCCCGAGUGGUGAUCACUUUUAUUGGGUCUAAAGGGUCCGUAGCCGGUUUGAUCAGUCCUCCGGGAAAUCUGACAGCUCAACUGUUAGGCUUCCGGGGGAUACUGUCAGACUUGGGACCGGGAGAGGUAAGAGGUACUACAGGGGUAGGAGUGAAAUCUUGUAAUCCCUGUGGGACCACCAGUGGCGAAGGCGUCUUACCAGAACGGGUCCGACGGUGAGGGACGAAAGCUGGGGGCACGAACCGGAUUAGAUACCCGGGUAGUCCCAGCCGUAAACGAUGCUCGCUAGGUGUCAGGGACGGUGCGACCGUUUCUGGUGCCGCAGGGAAGCCGUGAAGCGAGCCACCUGGGAAGUGCGGCCGCAAGGCUGAAACUUAAAGGAAUUGGCGGGGGAGCACUACAACGGGUGGAGCCUGCGGUUUAAUUGGAGUCAACGCCGGA
rnacentral:rRNA from 1 species